rnacentral:rRNA from 1 species
AUUGAACGCUGGCGGCAUGCCUUACACAUGCAAGUCGAACGGUAACGGGCCUUCGGGUGCCGACGAGUGGCGAACGGGUGAGUAAUACAUCGGAACGUGCCCGAUCGUGGGGGAUAACGAGGCGAAAGCUUUGCUAAUACCGCAUACGAUCUACGGAUGAAAGCAGGGGACCGCAAGGCCUUGCGCGGACGGAGCGGCCGAUGGCAGAUUAGGUAGUUGGUGGGAUAAAAGCUUACCAAGCCGACGAUCUGUAGCUGGUCUGAGAGGAUGAUCAGCCACACUGGGACUGAGACACGGCCCAGACUCCUACGGGAGGCAGCAGUGGGGAAUUUUGGACAAUGGGCGCAAGCCUGAUCCAGCCAGGCCGCGUGCAGGAUGAAGGCCUUCGGGUUGUAAACUGCUUUUGUACGGAACGAAAAGCCUUCUUUUAAUACAGGAGGGUCAUGACGGUACCGUAAGAAUAAGCACCGGCUAACUACGUG